rnacentral:rRNA from 1 species
UGCGCAGGCGGAAUGAUUAGUCAGUGGUGAAAGCCCUCGGCUCAACCGAGGAACUGCCAUUGAUACUGUCAUUCUUGAGUACAGUUGUGGUGGGCGGAAUGUGUCAUGUAGCGGUGAAAUACAUAGAGAUGACACAGAACACCGAUCGCGAAGGCAGCUCACUAAGCUGAAACUGACGCUCAGGCACGAAAGCGUGGGUAGCGAACAGGAUUAGAUACCCUGGUAGUCC